AGGGCACCACCAGGAGUGGAGCCUGUGGCUUAAUUUGACUCAACACGGGGAAACUCACCAGGCCCGGACACCAGAAGGAUUGACAGAUUGAUAGCUCUUUCUUGAUUUGGUGGUUGGUGGUGCAUGGCCGUUCUUAGUUGGUGGAGUGAUCUGUCUGGUUAAUUCCGAUAACGAACGAGACUCUGUCCUGCUAAAUAGAUCCAGCCUUCCUUUUGGGUUGGACUCGCUUCUUAGAGGGACUGGCGAUGACUAGUCGCACGAGAUUGAGCAAUAACAGGUCUGUGAUGCCCUUAGAUGUUCUGGGCCGCACACGCGCUGCACUGAAUUGAUCAGCUAGUUUUUCCCUUUCCGAGAGGAACGGGUAAACUGUUGAACCCAAUUCGUGGUAGGGAUUAGAGCUUGCAAUUGUUCUCUAUGAACCAGGAAUUCCCAGUAAGCGCGAGUCAUCAGCUCGCGUUGAUUACGUCCCUGUCCUUUGUACACACCGCCCGUCGCUACUACCGAUUGAAUGUUUUAGUG
rnacentral:rRNA from 1 species